GAUGAAUGGCUAUCAUGCUUUGAGUGUUGUGAGUUCUAAACUUUUUCUGUGAAUAUAUACACAGUUUUGCAUAGCAGUUCAAUCAAUGACAGCAUUUCAAUUGU
rnacentral:pre_miRNA from 1 species